rnacentral:rRNA from 1 species
UACGUAGGGGGCAAGCGUUGUCCGGAAUUAUUGGGCGUAAAGAGCGUGUAGGCGGUCCGGUAAGUCCGCUGUGAAAGUCCAGGGCUCAACCCUGGAAUGCCGGUGGAUACUGCCGGGCUAGAGUCCGGAAGAGGCGAGUGGAAUUCCUGGUGUAGCGGUGAAAUGCGCAGAUAUCAGGAGGAACACCAAUGGCGAAGGCAGCUCCCUGGGACGUGACUGACGCUGAGACGCGAAAGCGUGGGGAGCAAACAGG